CCAACUCAUUCCCAAACUAGCAAGAUUGUGUGCAAAGGAAUUACAAAACUUCGAGAUCUUACAGACAUUUAAGCAAUUAAAACUCUCCUGAAGAAAGCUAUGGAUCUUUGAAAACAAACCGCCACCAACAGAAAAAUCACAAGCCGUCGAAGUGUUCCGCGGCUUCCAACGCCUGCUUGCACGCCAUUGUUUGUGCGAGCAAGGCAUCAUGCACCUGUCUCCUGCCAGGGCUGCAAACCUUCAUGGUCACGCACUACAAAGCCCCACGCCCCACUCUUGGAGUUCUGCUUCAGGCCUUGUUUAGUUCCUAAAAAUUUUCAAAAUUUCCCAUCACAUCGAAUCUUGCGGCACAUGCAUGGUGCAUUCAAUAUAUAUGAAAAUAAAAACUAAUUACACAGUUCAUCUGUAAAUCACGAGACGAAUCUUUUAAGCCUAGUUACUCCAUAAUUGGACAAUAUUUGUCAAAUAAAAACAAAAAUGCUACAGUGUCGAAAUCCAAAAAUUUUUACGUACUGAACAAGGCCUGAAUGCACCAUCUAUAUUGAUUUUCAGAUAAUCCGGUGGCGGCGGCGACCAUCUCUGAGGAAUUGAGGUUGGUGGUGUUACAGGUUGGGCUAUCGGCAACUGUAUGUCAUUCACCAUAGUGAACAUUGAUUUUACUAUCUCCUGGCAUGUAGGCAUGAGCUCUCCCACAUUUACCUUGUUUCCCACCUCCCACCACCGUCAGAGCAGCACCGACACACUGAUGCAAAUAUCACUUCUCAUUUUCAUUAUUUCGGAUACAAACUCCUCAGCUGUGCUCAUUUGCAGUAGCUCGUAUAUGAGGAAUUUGAGUCCCAACUCUCUCCAAUAUUGACGCAUAGCUUUGCAUUUCAAAAAACAGUGGGCACCAUCCUCAUCGAAACAGAAACAAACCGGGCAUCUAGUAUUGUUAUUAUUGUUUGAACAAUUGUGAAAAAAAAGGAAAAGCACUGAACGACCACUCGUGACUAGAGACACAAAUUGGGUUCCACUCAACGCCUCUCCACCUAAGGCCCGCGACCCAUAAUUCGGGGCCCACAAUGCAUCCACGCACGGGUCCAAUCAACCUCAUAUGGCAAUGCACUUCGGCAGGCCGCCAGGGCUUGAGCUCAAGGAUGUGUAGGGCCUUGCCCCUCAAAUUUCAUCAUAAAGAAAAGUCAUGAGGAAAUAGCCAAGGAUGUUAAAUGUGGGAAUACAAUUUGAAUGGUAAUUUAAUUUCUGUUGUGAUAUAUUCUUGAAAAAAUCGAGAUAUGUUAAUGCUACUUUCUCAUCCCUUUCUUAGUUCAUAGUUUUUUUUGCAAGUUCUGUAACUAGCAUAUAGUCUUGCACAUGCAUUACUAUAAAUUUCUCAAUUGUCUUAAAGUAUGUAUUGGUCCACUAGUACAAUAUAAGGAAUAAAUACAAGCAGCAACAAAUGUAUAACCUAAUUCUAGUACAUUUCAUUUACCCAAAAUGCUAACUUCCCAAGACUUCUCAGACUCUUGUUGGUUUGGCUAAUAAGCCAUAGCUAAAUGUACUAUUUGCUGAUUUAUUAUGAGAGAAAAACACUGCUGAAUGGCUAGCAAAUUUGACAGAUAAGCUCAAGUGAACAGCUUGUUUCAAGCUCAACCUUUUCAGUACUUCCUCCAUCCAGCCUGUAAGUCGUUUUGACCUUUUCUAGGUAUAGAAAUUUACUAUGUACCUUGAUAUAUGUUGUGUAAAUAGUAGAUACAUAAUAAAACUAUGUACACAGAGAAGCCAAAAUGAUCUUCAAUUUGGAACAGGAUGAGUACUUAUUAUUGGGCAUGGAGACAAUUGAAUGUGAAAUGGGAAACCUGUGUAUAAACCCAUAUACAUCAUUGAGAGCAUGGAGAACAAAGAAGAAUAAAUUGUGGUUAGGAUGAAUGGUCAUUAUAUUGUAGUCAACUCUAGAUUAUUGUCAACUCUUUUUUCCAAACAAAUUAGGAAAAACACACUUUACCUAAGGACCAAUUAUUGUGUAUCGUUGUCCUUCAAAACCCACAAGAACACCUCAUAAUCAUUUUUUCCAAUACCUUCUUUGUAUGAACAUUAGCAGAUGGUUCAUUAGAGGCAUAGCCUCAAUAUAAUCUUGUAGUUCAUGAUGACUAUGAAAUGCAUAUGAGGCCUUUGGAUUAACAAAAAAAAAUCAGACAUUGCACUACCUUUUCUUUGUGCACCUAAAAUUGUCUACUGAGGAAUUUUUGUGUUUUCCCUUCCAAAACCACCACAAUUAUGUGAUCCCCGUCUAAGACAGAACAUCUCCCAUAGAAUCAUAGUUAUGACACAAUACAUUAUUAAUAGAUCUAAUAAUCUUCCUCUUAAAGAUAAAGAAGAAAUAUAGCACUAUCAUUUGUAUAGGACUUUCUUUUCUUCUAGGCCAAGCACCUUUGUUGUAAGUACGUGCUCUAUUUUUUGACAAGUAAGUCUGGACAUAAGACACACAUAGCAUAUCAUUCGAGAACUAAACCAAGUAAAAAUGAGAAGAUACAUCUAGACUACAAAAUCAACUAGAUAGACAUUUUGUUGUAUAGAGGUAGAGUCUAGCUAGAGUUAGGCACAAUCACCCAUUGCUCCUUGGUAGAGUUGCACGUGAUAUAGCUAGGUGGUGCGUCUGAGAUCUAGAAAUGCUAAUACUAAUAAGUAUCCCAUUGUAGGUAACCAAGACCGCACAUUUCUAGAAAGUCAAGAAACUUCCUUAUAAAGGAGAACAAAAGGUCAACAAUAAUUUUAGGUCUCUCUUGUGUCCUCUUUAGGCCCAUCUACUAGUUCAAGUGCCUAUCUAAGGCCUAGAGUUACCUAAGUUAUGGUUGACCUCCAUCAAAGUAAGCUCGCCAUAACUCUAGAAGGGCUUUUCCACAAGAUACACAACCAUUGUGAUGGUAGCUAAAACCAUGAAUGUGGCAAUAGUAACUAGCACGAUCAUGGUUGUACUUUCUAAGAAAGAUUCUUAACUCUAAGAGCAUGAGGAUCUUGGAUACCUGCUAACUCAGACACACCACCGAGAUAUAUCAUGUACAACUGUGCGACUGAACGAUGGAUGGCUAUGCUACUAUGCCUAUUUUAACUGAACUUUGCCUCUAUACCUACAAAAGGCCCAUCUAUUUCAUUUCCAAUCCAACUAUCUCCUCCCACUUCCAAUCGGUCUAGUUCUAUAACGAUGAGUUCAUGGUCACAACAUUGGUAUACACCUACUCAUGGAAAAUUACUAAUGGACUUAGCAAAGGUGCCUUUAGUAAGUAUGCCAUGGAUCUACUAUAGCUCAACUUAAUUAGCCUUUUAAAUUUGACUAACUCAAAAUAAAAACCUAGUUAAUAAAGUUGAAACAUGAAUGAAUCCUUGAUGUGUGCCCACCUUUAAUGGGACUACAGGAGAAAGGAGAUGCUCAUUGAAUGGUUGUAUUAUAAGUGAUGUUGCAUAGCACAUAUGAAGAAUGAUGCCAUUGUCAUUUCCUUGCUAUAUCAAAGCUGUUCACAUAAAUAUGGUGGAUGUAGACCGAAAAACAUGAAAAAUUAUCCUUACUAUGUUCUAGGUGCACAAAGGAAAGUAUAGUUACUAUCCAGUUUUGUUUGUCAAUAAAUUCCAAGGGUGCCAACAUUAUGUCAAAUAGUAAUGUUGGUGAACUUGAAUGUCAAAAAAUAGAUUUUUAUUACUUUUGAGUAUGUUGGAGGUAUUCCUUGUAAAUAAAUCCAAAAUAUAUACAUAGCUAUAAUAAUUAGUUUCUAAUGAACAAACACACCCAUUCUUCGUUUCCUUAUUCAUGUAACUUAAAACACGAUUAAACAUAGAAAAUAUUAAAUUCUCUAUCAUCUUACUUGGCAAACAUUAUUUCCUUAUGAACAUGAGUAUGAUAGAAUCAAAAUGAUUAAUCAUUUGUUCAUAAUGCAAAAAGAUGUGGUUAUACCAAAAUAAUUUUCAACUCAAAGGUUACUUACCUAUGCUAUUCGGUGCUUGCCACAAGAAAUUCAAUAAUAGCAUCCUUGCCCGCCCAUGGAUGGCUACAAGUAGAGGGGGCUAUUUACCAAAGUCACCUGAUAAAAAAUAUGCAAGUACAAGGUAGUAGUUGUCUAGGACAAAAGUAGCACUUGAUCUCAUGCUCAUUCAAUUUGAAGUUUCUUAUGACAUGGGUAAGCAAACAAUUGAAGGGCCUAAAGAAAACAAUGAUGAUUUGAAUUAAUUUGAGGUCCCUACAAAAUUGCAUCAUGUUAUUAGACAAAAACUAUGCAUUUGAUUAAUCAAAGCACAUAUUUAAUAAAAUAUAACUCUAAAUAAACAAUAAGAAAUAUAUUUGAUGCACCCGGACAUUAUAAGUUUUUUAACAUGAGGAGUUAAAUAUUUCUUACUAAUAACUUUUCAUCUUCCUUCCUAAGGAAGAGCAUUUCUUCAGCUUGCUAUCCUGGAGAAGGUCUGAGUGGUAAACUAUUUUCAAGCUAGCAAAGUAAACUUUUCUCUAAAUUCUAUCCAUUACCAACCUUCUUACCACAUGAUGCUAUACCCUCAUGGAUCUCUCCUCAGUUGACAAUGGCUUGGACACCUCAACUAGCAACAACUCUCUUGCUACUAGUGAUGGUGAAGGAAAGCUCCAAUUUCUAGUCAUUUUUUUUUCUUGGGCACCUUUUCCUCACUGCCAGCCUCCUCACCACCAUCACAUGCGUCACCAACAGUGAGAUAUAGAUCUUAUUGAAUGGGGAGAAUUACCAAAUAUGGCCAUUGUUAUGGUCUUGAUCUCGAUGUGGCACCGCACCUACGUGCUACUCGGCGCCAAGGAAGCUAGAUCCAGACGUGCUUGUGCACUCCUUGCCGCUGGGGAGAUAGAUCUAGAUGUGUCGUCGCACCUGCAUGCUCCUCGCUGUUGGGAGAGUUGGAUCAGGACAUGUGUGUCGUCCCUGCGCGCUCCCUGCCAUCGAGGUAGUUGAUUUGGACACGCCGCCCCCCUACGCGCUUCCCAUCGCCAAGGGAGCUCGAUCUGGAUCUAGACACACCGCUACCCCCUGCGCUCCCCACGUCGCGGUGUGGCCUCUUAUCGUCGGAUCUAGAGUGGAUGAGGGUGGAAGGCACCAGAUCAGGAGCUGGAGGUGAUGGAGAGCGCCACCACCGGGCAAUCAGGCCCCGUCCCCCUCGUGCCCACCGCUGGGUAGCCAGCCGCACCCAGGAUCGGAGGUUGCGCACUUACGCCACUGCGGGGGAAGGGAGAGACGAGGGCGACAGGAGAAGUGAGGGUGAGGGUUGGAGAAGUGAGGAGAAACCCUAAGCGCCAUAUGUAUAAGACUCAUAAGAGGAUUGAAUACGGGCUUUGCUAGGCCUUAGUGCCAUUUCGUGAGACUGAAAUGGCGGCCCACCUUCUCGUUUUACGAGG
rnacentral:lncRNA from 1 species